UGGGGAAUCUUCCGCAAUGGACGAAAGUCUGACGGAGCAACGCCGCGUGAAUUAAGAAGGCCCUCGGGUCGUAAAAUUCUGUUGUUAGGGAAGAAUGUGCUUUUUGUAAAUAAUGAGAAGUAAUGACGGUACCUAAAGAGGAAGCCACGGCUAACUACGUGCCAGCAGCCGCGGUAAUACGUAGGUGGCGAGCGUUGUCCGGAAUUAUUGGGCGUAAAGAGCAUGUAGGUGGGAAUGUAAGUCUGUUGUUAAAAUGCGGAGCUCAACUCCGGAUUGCACUGGAAACUACAUUUCUUGAGUGGAGGAGAGGAAAGGGGAAUUCCCAGUGUAGCGGUGAAAUGCGUAGAUAUUGGGAGGAACACCAGUGGCGAAGGCGCCUUUCUGGACUGUGUCUGACACUGAGAUGCGAAAGCUAGGGGAGCGAACGGG
rnacentral:rRNA from 2 species